rnacentral:rRNA from 1 species
UGGGGAAUAUUGCACAAUGGGCGCAAGCCUGAUGCAGCCAUGCCGCGUGUAUGAAGAAGGCCUUCGGGUUGUAAAGUACUUUCAGCGGGGAGGAAGGGAGUAAAGUUAAUACCUUUGCUCAUUGACGUUACCCGCAGAAGAAGCACCGGCUAACUCCGUGCCAGCAGCCGCGGUAAUACGGAGGGUGCAAGCGUUAAUCGGAAUUACUGGGCGUAAAGCGCACGCAGGCGGUUUGUUAAGUCAGAUGCGAAAUCCCCGGGCUCAACCUGGGAACUGCAUCUGAUACUGGCAAGCUUGAGUCUCGUAGAGGGGGGUAGAAUUCCAGGUGUAGCGGUGAAAUGCGUAGAGAUCUGGAGGAAUACCGGUGGCGAAGGCGGCCCCCUGGACGAAGACUGACGCUCAGGUGCGAAAGCGUGGGGAGCAAACAGG